CUGGAGUUAAUGAUUGGUGAUAAAGACCUUCUGUCUUUGUAAAUACACACAUUGCAUUUCAUUCCAUAGUUAUAGGGAUUUCAGGUGGCUCUCCACUUCCCUGUAACUGCUAAGGAACUGACUCCUGUGCCUUACUUUUAAGAAGAAAAUGUACAACUGCAAAGCACUGUGGUUGUCAAUGAGGCUGAACACAGAGACCCGGUGCAACAACUCUGCCUGCCUGAUUUCUAUGGAGCAACUCAAGAGUUUUCAAAACUCUAGAAUUCUGACCACCUAAGUUCCAUAAGAAAAUGAUGAGCUCUGAGCCAGCAUAAUUGGGUCCCAGGAGAUCACAACAGUCGUUUUGACACCUAUUCAGGAAAUAUUUGGACUUUCUGGAAGAGUACAAGACUCUAGUGCAGACAAACAAACAUUCAGGCAAUAAAAUACCAUCACUUCUUUUGUUCAUAAGAAGCCUUUUAUGUGGAAAAUAAAAAAUUAGCAUUAUCUUCUAAUACCUAUAGGAGGAUUUCAGCUGGCCCAAGUGAACAGAAUAAGCACUGCAUCACUGGUGUAUGCUAAGCACGGAGCACAUAGACUUGAAAAAGCACUGAAAUGAAGCAGUGCUCAAAAUAAUGUGAAUGCUUCUUAUAAAGUUGGAGACUUGAUUUAUUAGAAAUGGUUCAAACAUUUUUCCUAAUUAUUGUGAGCAAAGUGCCUAACAAAACUAGAAAAAUGUCUCCAGUUUGGACUCCACUGAGACUAAUACUCAUCCUUCACACUUCAAAGGGCAAAGUUGGGUAGGAGAGAAGACAGAGCAUUGGUUUUAGUCUUAGUCAGAACACUAAAAAGGGCCAUUUAAUGUUAGUAUGUGAGCCAUAGCUAUGUUUUUCAAAUAAAAUUGAAAAUAAAUCUUGAAGUUGAGUUGAAAAAUCUUGCUAUUACCUCAUAACCAUAUUUCUCUUCACAUCUUAAGAGUCAGAGAGAUUCAGAAAUAUAUGCAACACUUUCCCUAGUACUUCAAGGAAGUUGUGCUUCCAUUUUUGAUAGAUAAAACAAGGCAUAGAGUCAAGAUUCAUCUCUGGAAAUGAAUAUAAAUCAGGGUUAGGAAUUUGAUGGUGGGCAUCAUAUUGCCCACCUUUAGAUUUCGAAAAGAGAGAUGCCUGAAGGUGACACACUGAUUUGUAGAUUUAGUUCAUAGAUAACAAUCUUGGCCUAUGUCUGACAAAUUUCAGAUCUCUCUUUUUAGCUUUUUUUUUUUUUUUUCCUGCUGUGUUAGACAACUUACCCAUUCAAUGUAAUAUCUGUGCCAAUGGCCAUUCUGGGCUGCUUUAUUCUGUAUUUAUAUGUCAGGUUAUACACUGUAUUCUAGAAGCAAAUGCAACAUCAAAGUCUCUUUGGAGAUAUGUCUCAGAAUGAUUUGCCAACAGGCAUGAACCAAGCUAUUGUUAGCACCUAAAUUAGGAUUCUAGGAGAUCUGGCUUCCAGUUCAAACCACAAAAAUGUGAGAGAUCUCUAGUGAGAGAUAUCUAAUGCUCAGAAAGCUAUAGAACCCUACACCUAAUUUAUAUAUACAGUCACUGUUAAGCCAUAUAUAAAAAUCAGCUGUCCAAAACUCCCCUUAUUGCUGCAGAAGUUUUGACUACAAACUUGUUUAUUGCAAACUUGUUGACAAACAGACUUGCUUCUAGCAGGCAUAAAAGUAUGCUCUAGUGAAGCUUGGUAGGGGCUCGGAGACUUUGAAACUUUGGGGUCAGCGCUCUCACAGACCAAGUAUCCCCACUGACUGGACCAAUGCUGGAAACCAAACCAGUGAUCUCAUUCUUGGUCUGUCUCUCAAUCUCUCAUUCUUUCUUUUUCCCUCAUAAAGUUUUUAAGAGUCACAUAGUUUAGCUGCACAGCUUAGGUAGAUAUAACUGUAAGAGUGCCAAUACUUUUAAGAUAAUUGUAGUACAGAAAUUUCUCAUUAAAAUUGAUGAUUAUAUUUGGACUUUGAGCAUCAGUUUCACCUUAAUCUAACCAGGGGAGAUUUACAAAUUUGGUCACUUCUCCCUCCCUUCAUGAGCAGAAUGUGACAGCUUUUGAAAUUAGAGAGCACUUACUCUAAAGCAUGUCUUCUGACUUAGCCUUCUGUGACAUGAACAGUAUGGUAAGCAUUUUAAUUUGGGACUUUGAUAGAAGGAAUGACACGAAAGUGUAAAACUGUUUUUGCCAUCCUGCCAGUGGUGUGUGAAGAAAAUACUUUGUCUGAAAGCAAACAAGGAAGGAUUUGGAAGUGCAAGUAACAAGGCUGGAGAUGUGUUACAGGUCAAGCUAGUAGGUCAUUGACAGAACUUGACAUUUCUCUUCUAUUCCUUAUCUCGAUGAAAAAACCCAAAGUUUAAUAGAUCAUUACACAAAGAAAGCACUAUUGCCAAUACUAGUAUUGAUACUAAAAAUCUUGUUUUGACAUCUAGAGUGGUCUUGCUAUCAACACGAUUAAUCACCAACAGCUAGUCAACUUGGCAACAUUAGCAGUAAUUUAACAAAGUUUACCAACUUAUCUUUUAACUUGCCUGCAUGGCCAGUGCAACUCAUUAACAAAAAUAUUAAAAAUGUUUUGAUGAUAUGUUUUCAUGUCGUAUUUUUCUUUUUCCUUGACUAGUUAAAAGCAAAUAUAACCGUCAAUAGAUAUGCAUUUGUGAGAAAGCUGCAGGAAGUCAGGCAGAAAAUGACUAACAAGGAAGACUUAUGACACCAGUAACAUUAAAAUGUAUAAUAAAUUUCAGAACUAUUUGAUCAAGUUUUGCAUUCAUACAUGUAUGUGUACAUACUUCUACCAGCCACACUUAUGGCUGUAACUUAUCAUUAUGUUUAAGUGUUAAAAUACUGUGGAAAAUUCCUUUGGGCAGUAAAAUUUUGAACUUUUUGCUGUACUGAUGUUGCUGCAGAAGUCAUUUUAAGUUUUGGGAACUAUGUACACCAAACAUAGGUGUACACACAGUGUAGGUCUGAAGACAAUCUUGAAAGUGAUUAGGGUACUCCUGAUUCUGAAAAAACUAAGAUAACUUCAUUGAAGAACAUCUGGCAAUCUAAUACAUUUUUGUUAGUGAACAAGCAGUAGAUAGGUUUCAAUUUUUACAGAUGUGUAAUUAUCCAAAAUUCUUUGGUGAAAGCCUAUAGCUUGCUUGUGAAUUAGUACGUUGGACUCUUUUAAAGUGAUGAGCCUUUUAUUAUUCAUUCUGUGAUGUAACUGAAGAUGGCAACAUUUUAUAAUCACAGAACCAUAGAAUGGCUUGGGUUGGAAGGGACAUUAAAGACCUUCUAGUUCCAACCCCCUGCCUUGGGCAGGGUUGUCAGCCACUAGAUCUGGCUGCACAAGAACCCAUGAAGCUUGGCCAUGAAUGCCUCCAGGGAUGGGGCAAACACAGCUUCUCUGGGCAGCCUAUAUCAAUGCCUUACCACCCUCUGAGUGAAGAAUUUCUUCUUAACAUCUAAACUUAAAAAUAAAUUUCCAAUUCUGAUUUGCUAGUCUUUACCACUCCCCAAACAAUGAAAAUGUAUUUCUGCUGACAUAGCAUGAAUUUGUAUCUAUUUAGCUAAGCAAUAUCGCUUUGGGUUCAAGUAGUAGGUCCUUGCUUUGGCAUUUUAAAACUCUGUUCUGUCCUACAUUAGAAUAACUCAAGUUCGGUGUCAAUAAAUUCAAAGGUCAUCAAAACUAGAUAUACUUAAACAUUUCAGUGAACAAAUGUCUUCUCUCCACACACUCCUACCCUCUUCACCUUUCCUACAAUUAUGAUUUUAAGCAGAAAUUUGUUAGCAUGUUAAUUCUUAGAAAGUUAAUGAAAGGCUUACAUACACAGAGGGAUUUUACUGUUUUUAUUCAUAGAGCACCCUCUGCCUCAGUUCAGUUAUGAUUUAUCUUGUUCAGUAUUAAGACAUAUUAGCUGCGUAAUACUACGAACACCACUCCUGUUUUAGGAAACAACUGAUAACUUCAUACAGUAGAAUUCUCAGUCCUCCCUAACUAAAUUUAUCUGUGAGCACAUGCAAGUACAAGCCCAUAGCACACCUACAGAUUCACGCACGUUAAAUAUCUGGAUAAUUCAAAACGUAAUCUACAUUUCCAGUAUUUGUUCAGAAUAUUAUUUUAUUAGCACAACAAAGGCAUCAAUAGCCAGUUCAGCUUUAAGCCAGAUAAUAAAUGUACAAAAUAUCUACAUUAUUUUCAUACUUUCACAUAAAGAUUUUUUUUACUUCAUGGUACAUUUGCUGUAGCACAUGGAUUAAGAUGGGAACUAAAUAAUUUCAUUGACCAUAUCACGUUUUGCAAACCCUGAGCUGAUGGUGUUUAGAACUCUCAUUUAAAAAAAAAUAAAUUAAACAUCCUGCUUAAGCACAGAUUUGUAUCAUUCUAAAUGUUGUGUUUGGAAACUAGCAGAAAAAAUACUUGAGAUUUAAGUUUCUGUUGAAGGAAAAGGUCUUCCAAGUACAUAGCAAGUUUCUGGCUAGUUUCUGGGUUGGGCUUAUCAUAAACUUCCCCCUGUGGCAAAGUCAUCCAGUUCUGGACAUUUUUUUCUUUAUUUUCCCCAGAUUUUUUUCUUUUCUUUUUUAAAAACACAGAUUUGUCCAAAGCAAUAAUUAGCACACAGUUCUUUAGUACUAAACGCAUGAAAAUUCAAGCAUAUUUUUAUCAAAUACACACAUCUGGCAACGAUGUAUCUUAUUUAUGGUCUUUUUUGAUAAAAGCAUAAUUGAUUCAAAUGGGUGAUUCAAAAAUGUAAUUUACAGUCUAGCAUCUUGAUUUUAAAGUUUUAUUUUAAUAACAGCCACCAAGACAGUAAUCAAAUUAUUGGUGAGGCAAAGCUAACAAUUCCACAGAAUUUUUAUGUCUUCAUGCAUUAGAGUGAAGUUCUUGCUUAUCCCUGUCCUUUACCUGUGUAAAGGGGGAUAUUUACUCCAACCGUGCAUUUUCCUUUCAUUGCAUGAUUCACUGAAUCACAAAAGAAAUACAAAGUUGAUCAACAAGCAAGCAUAAUUAUAAACUAUUAAGUUACUUUC
ensembl:lncRNA